GUGUGGUAUAAAAGCUUUAUUUAUUAGAGGAAUAAUAGGAAAUGUUAGAUCGCGACCAUGCCUCUGGAUGCCGUUCGAGCCCAUAGCCUUUAUUUACGCGGCUUUGUUCUGGUUUGCCGGUUAGUCACGAAUUUCCACAAAUUCAAUAACAUAUAGGCAUUGUUUCUUUUCCUAAAUCUUCACAGUCUAACCCUCUAAUUUCGCAGGUUUAUUUUAUUAACUUUCACUUUUAAUAACUGUUUUCGCAUCUCUUACUGUGGUAAACAUGGGAAGGGAAAUUAAAGAUUUCAAGAAUUAAGAAUUCGUUCGAUUUAUUCAUUUGUUUCCUUAUUUCACUUAAAUCAUGGGUUAUUUAGGGAACAAAAUUAAUGAAAGAUGGAAAGUUGCCACAAAUUAAUAAAUCGUGGGAACGAAUUAACAAGUUGUAGGAUUGAAUAGACUACCUGUCCUGUCACUGUGUCCCGCAGCCCUGCAAAGCGCACGAUAUGAAACAGUUAUCUGAUGAUGAAAUUACUUAGUUACUACAUUUCUAUUGCUUUUUAUGUUGAAUAACUUUUAUGUUGUUUCUAUUUUAAUGUACUUUAAAGUUUAAAUCACAUUAAAAGCUUAAUUUGUACAUUGUGAAUGAAUGAUGAUGCUUUUAUAUACCGUCACCGUCACUCACAGCCGCUCGCACGUGUUUUGCGCAUGAGCCGCACGCAGCCCAACCACUGAUCUAUGUAUGUUCUAUAUUAUAGAUCAGUGAGCCCAACAUUAAAUCGGUUAACCGACCAUCGACAGCCUUAAUCGAUUGCAUCUCUUAUCGACAAUUAAUCGAUCAUCGAUUAAUCGUUGACAUCCCUUAUCCAGACCAUUAAAUAAGAAGCCACUGAGAAGCUGAAGUCAGAAGAUCACAGGCAGAGGUCUGACACACACUGAAUCUAUAGGAUGGCUCCCACUGUUCUUCUGAUCGGCUGUCUGCUCGCUACAAUCAGCUGCUUAACCACAGUUCAAUCUACCACAACACCACCUUCACCAGCACCGACUACAACUACUACAACAACACCACCUACACCAACACCAACUACAACUACUACUACAACACCACCUUCACCAGCACCAACUACAACACCACCUACACCACUGACUACCAACUCUACAACUACAGUCAGUCCACCAACAUGUGAGGCAAAAUCCUGAAUAUUUAAAAUUAAUAUUGCAGUAGUAACUAACUCUAAACUUGUACAUGAUUAAACAACAUGCUGUUUAAUUCCACUAGAGAAAAACAUCCAUGCACAGAAAUAUUUCCUUGUUCUUGUUUUAUUAAACCAUGUCUUGCUCAGACAGCUCUGUGGCUCAUCAACGUUUAACUCUCUAACUUCAGUUACUACAGAGAAUGGUGACCUCAGUGAUGUGACCGACAUCCCAGAAACCACACAGCCUGGAGUGACCAGUGUGACAAAUACAACAACAACGACAGCUCAAGCUCCCGUGUGUGAGUGUUUUGUCUGUGUGUGUGUGUGUGUGGGUGAUUAAAUGACUGUGCCAAUUGCAUACUGUAUAUUAUUUUGUAUGAAAUUACAUGAACUGAUGUGCUAGAUGUAUCUGUCAUAGAAGAAAAUUGUGCGAAUCCAGAUCUGUGCUGCUCUGGAAGGAAUGACGCCUGUCGCCGCUUGAAUUGUUUUUGUGAUGUUGCUUGUCUGAGAUUUAAAGACUGCUGCCCUGAUUUCAAACCCACCCGCCUCACAGGUAUUCAGAAAUAUUCAUAGUGAAUGAAGAAAACUGAUUAAUCUGUGCUGAAAUCAAUCACUUACUGUAUUUUACAUUCUAAUUUAUGAAAACCUAAUAAUAUACUUUAUCUGCACCUCUGUCCCAUUUUUUAGUCAAUAACACCACCAACGACACAAAACCAAACACCUUGCCACUGACAGGUAUAUUUUCUACUCCUUUAUUUUAUUUAUAUUAUUUUAUAUCAAGUUAGAGGCUGUUUGCUUUUAAAAAUGUUAUGUCUCGUUUUUGAAAACUUCUUUUAAAUUAAUGGUGUGCUUAUGCAC
ensembl:lncRNA